UAGCUCAGUUGGUUAGAGCACCACCUUGACAUGGUGGGGGUCGGUGGUUCGAGUCCACU
rnacentral:tRNA from 1 species